GGUUUGUGCUGAUAUUGACAUUCCUAUUCUUGAGAAUAACACCAUAACAGGUUGUCUUUUAUUCACCUCUCCUCAACUAAGCAAGUAGAACAGCCAGCAGUGUUGAAUAUACUGGUAUUCAUCUACCUGAACAAAGUAUUUGGAAUAAAGCAUCAAAAUGUAGAACUGACUCUUAAAGUACCAAGAGGCAACAGCAGGAUCCUGCAAAGCUAAUUCCUAGCGUAAGGAACAUAAGUAGGAAAGGGGAAGGUCAGGACAAAGAGAAAGGUUGCGAGAAACUGAGUUCUUGUGCCCCUAUGUCCAGAGCAACACUUUCCCCAUGUGAUGCAGUGAGGGAACCUGGUGUUCCACAGCCAUUACUCAAAGCUCCAGGGUCACUUUGGAAAACAGCAGCCUCUUCCUAUGAGCUCCAUUUCCAGGACAAUGAAACAGUCUUUGCAGUUUCCAAGUUUUCCACAACAGUUGUGUGGCCAGGCAUGUUGACAGGGUUUGGGAGCAGCUGUGUGCACCUCACCUUGACAAAAGAUGCACCAGGCCUCCUGGCUCAAGGCUUGCAGACUUCUUUUUUCCUCCCUCCUCAAAGCAGAGUGGCAGCAUGAUGGAAAGGUGUGACAGCCCUGCUCUGCAUCACAUCACUCACUGAGCUGGUGGACAGUGCAUAAUGAAAUCUCUAAAACUGCCUUUCUCCUCCAAUGGCUUCCUUCUCUCCCACUUGUGAGCCUACCCCAAGUCCUCUUGGAGGUCAAUAACACCAAACACAAGGGAAUGCCAUGCCUGGACCCACCUCCCUUGAUCCCAGAGGUGACCCAAAAAGGAAUAACAAAUUGCAUAUGUGUGACCCUUGUUCAUCUUUAUAAGGCAUAAAGAUACAUGAAAGGAUUUGUUGCUGAUCCACUCAGUUGUAAAGACUCAAUAAAUAUAUUUAGAACCAGUGCUUUUUGAGCUGUGUGAGGGCACUUUGGUUUGGGGUUUUUUAGUUAGACGAUUAGUAGGGUUAAUGAUACUGCAAAUGAAGUUAACUCUCUAUUGUCAGAGGACACAAUGGCUUGCACGGGGUCCUGUGACAGCAUCUGCUCCAUUUCUCUCUUAAGAGAGAAAUGCACCAUUGAUGAUGUUAUUGGAGGUUUCCCAUUACAUGGGAUAUCACUCCGCCUUGGUGGACCAGAAAACCUGCUGAAAUGAGGAUACAUGUCAGUGUCCUGAACCUGGCUUAGCUGCUCAGGGUAAGAAUAGUGCAGCAAAUUGCUGAUCUCACUGAUGUGAGGUGAUGUGUAAGGUCUUCAAGCAGAAAAGCCCCCGGGACCAUAGGGUGUUAAUAGCUUACU